AGGGGAGAGCCGGGUCGAUUGAAACACUUUGCAGUUAAACGUCUUUUUCAAAGAUGACGUUACGUAUACAAAUAAUUUUAACAUGUGAUCAACAACUCACAGGUGUGUUCUCUUAAUUACAAGUGAAAUUUAAUACAUAUGUUGGAUGAUCGAGCUGUUAUUUAACUUUGAACGCAAGUUGACAUUUGUUUCAAACGCCCCGCCUAGUCGGGACGUUUGAAACACGCAUGCGGGACGAAUGAAACAGCAUAUUUUAAAAAUAAUCUAUUGCCCUUACUCUUGUUUUUACGCUACAUACCAGACAACAUACUAGUGUACUCGUCAUUGCUAAAAUUUCACAUAAUUCCGCAUAAUAUAAAUAGGUCAAAAUAUAUUUUUGGCCCGUGCGUAAUUGUCAAGAUGCACAUUUCGGUUAAAACUCACCUUUCUUCUUUUGGACGACUAAAUUUGCAUUAAAUUUACUUAUUUCCCUGUCCUAAGUAAUGUUUAAGGAUACACAGUUGAACACCCUUUUAUUUAUUUUAAACAAAAACUACCAGGUCAACAGGAUAUCACGAGACCUGUUACAUCUGAAAUGUAUCCAAGCGCCGCACAGGGUUAACUUCUUUUCGACACGCUCAGCACGGCGCACAGAAGCAUCCGAAGUCUCUGUGGACAGGCAUCGAGGCGCUGAAGAGCUCGCAGCACACGAGGCAGCUGACGUCCUCGCUGGAUAGGCCUAAAUAAAUUGGAGAUGUAGAGGCAGCAAUGGUGGUGAACUCUGCUGCCUUCGGAACAGGACAAACUAGGCCUAAGGUGGGGCUGAAUCCAUCAGCGGGCCAGGUGAUGGUGGGAGGAGCAGCUGAGGUGGCACCAGGGGUGACUCCAGCAAGGGGGGCGGCUUCAGGAGCGGGCGAGAAGAGCCUCUUCUUGGGAGCCCGAGAGGAGGGAGGCUGCUUGGCGGGACGACGCUGCUUCACAGUUCCCUUUUUUCCGCCUCUAAAGCAGCCCUCACCGGGGUGUCCGUCUGGCCUUAGGGUAAGGCCGGACGAUGUCCGGGCUGAAUUCAACGGCCUCUCCCUCAGGCCGGACAGCUUCGUCAGGCCCGGCAGCUCGAUCAG